rnacentral:rRNA from 1 species
UACGUAGGGGGCAAGCGUUGUCCGGAUUUAUUGGGCGUAAAGAGCGUGUAGGCGGCCAUGCAGGUCCGCUGUGAAAACUCGAGGCUCAACCUCGAGAUGUCGGUGGAAACCGUAUGGCUAGAGUCCGGAAGAGGAGAGUGGAAUUCCUGGUGUAGCGGUGAAAUGCGCAGAUAUCAGGAGGAACACCAAUUGCGAAGGCAGCUCGCUGGGACGUUACUGACGCUGAGACGCGAAAGCGUGGGGGAGCAAACAGG